GUCACAUAUUCAACUGUGAGUCACAAUUACAAUUUUCAACACCGCCAACAUCCUUGCCACCGCAGCCAGCACCACUACCUCUACCACCACUGCAACGCGCACCACCCCACACUGCAUCAACCCAUUUCCUCAAAUCACCAACACAAACACCCACAAACGGUGCAGCCACCACAACGGGUACCAUCCCCAAAUCAUUCCACAACCACCACGCCAAACCAUUCCACAACCAAACCAUAGAUCAAAUCAUUCUACACCACCGCACCUAAACAUUCCACAACCACACACCUCUGUCAUGCGCACACACACACACACUCAGUCGAUCUGCACAGGGUGUUAAUUUGGGCCGCAGUAGUGCCGUACCCACGCACAUACACACCGUCGUUAUCCACCACCCACGCACGUACACGCCGCCAUCGUGUACACGCCGCCACCCACAUAACAAAUCCACAACAUCUCUCUCUUACCUUUCUCAUCACCGAUCUACACCGCAUCAACAGACUUCGAUUCUAGCAGCGACGGUCGGAGCAAGUUCUUCAUCGCCGGAGUAAGUUCUUCAUCGUCCAUGCCCUCAAAUUACAGUGAGAAACGAGAGAAGAGAGGAUGGCGACCGGUGAGAGAGAGAUAAGAGAGGAACGGGGCUUAGAGAGAGAAUGGGUUUUGUGGCUCUACUGGUUCUAACGUAAAGGGGAAGUUAAUUAGGAUAGUUAUCAAUUGCUCUCUCCAAAUUAAUAUAUAUCUAUUUAUCUUUUCAAGAAGUCAUAAG
rnacentral:lncRNA from 1 species